rnacentral:rRNA from 1 species
UACGUAGGGGGCUAGCGUUGCUCGGAAUCACUGGGCGUAAAGGGCGCGUAGGCGGAUCUUUAAGUCGGGGGUGAAAGCCCAGGGCUCAACCCUGGAAUUGCCUUCGAUACUGGAGAUCUUGAGACCGGAAGAGGUAAGUGGAACUGCGAGUGUAGAGGUGAAAUUCGUAGAUAUUCGCAAGAACACCAGUGGCGAGGGCGGCUUACUGGUCCGGUUCUGACGCUGAGGCGCGAAAGCGUGGGGAGCAAACAGG